rnacentral:misc_RNA from 1 species
AUGCAUCGAUGAAGAACGCAGCGAAAUGCGAUACGUAAUGUGAAUUGCAGAAUUCAGUGAAUCAUCGAAUCUUUGAACGCAUAUUGCGCUCUUUGGUAUUCCGAAGAGCAUGCUUGUUUGAGUAUCAGUAAACACCUCAAAGCUUUUGGAUUUUUUAAUCGAAAAGCUUUGGACUUGAGCAAUCCCAACACCAAUCUUUUUGAGAUCGGUGGCGGGUUGCUUGAAAUGCAGGUGCAGCUGGACAUUCUCCUGAGCUAAAAGCAUAUUCAUUUAGUCCCGUCAAACGGAUUAUUACUUUUGCUGCAGCUAACAUAAAGGGAGUUUGACCGUAUUGGCUGACUGAUGCAGGAUUUCACAAGGGUCGGCAACGAUUCUUGUUAAACUCGAUCUCAAAUCAAGU